AGAAGAAAGAAGGUCUACCCUUGUCUUCACCCCCAGCUUGUCCGACGCUUCUCCGUGCUGUGCUGCACACUGAGGUGGCAGGUCCCAGGGUUGGUGACAUGAGCUCAUCCGCGCUUUGAAUGUUUUUGAGGUGGGUUUCAUUAUUUCUGCUUUAUUUGGGCUCAGAGAAGCUGAGACACUUGCUGGGCUACCUGGCUACCCUGGC
rnacentral:lncRNA from 1 species